GCUUCAUUCAAAUAUCUGCCCUAUCAACUUUCGAUGGUAGGAUAGUGGCCUACCAUGGUUUUAACGGGUAACGGGGAAUAAGGGUUCGAUUCCGGAGAGGGAGCCUGAGAAGCGGUACCACAUCCAAGGAAGGCAGCAGGCGCGCAAAUUACCCAAUCCCGACCGGGGAGGUAGUGACAAUAAAUAACAAUAUAGGGCUCUUUUGGGUCUUAUAAUUGGAAUGAGUACAUUUUAAACCCCUUAACGAGGAACAAUUGGAGGGCAAGUUUGGUGCCAGCAGCCGCGGUAAUUCCAGCUCCAAUAGCGUAUAUUACAGUUGUAGCAGUUAAAAAGCUCGUAGUUG
rnacentral:rRNA from 1 species